rnacentral:rRNA from 1 species
CCGCGGUUAUACGAGAGACCCUAGUUGAUAGCUGCGGCGUAAAGAGUGGUUUGGGACACCCCAUAAAAAUAAAGCCAAAGACCCCCCAAGCUGUCAAACGCACACCGGGGGCACGAAACCCCAACACGAAAGUAGCUUUACCCUCACCCCCGACGCCACGAAAGCUAAGAAACAAAC